ensembl:lncRNA
CCAUCUGUCAUCUGUUACUGUCUGUCCAUCUGUCUCUGUUACUGUCUGUCCAUCUGUCUCUCUGUUACUGUCUGUCCAUCUGUCUCUCUGUUACUGUCUGUCCAUCUGUCUCUCUGUUACUGUCUGUCCAUCUGUCUCUGUUACUGUCUGUCCAUCUCUCUCUGUUACUGUCUGUCCAUCUGUCUCUCUGUUACUGUCUGUCCAUCUGUCUCUCUGUUACUGUCUGUCCAUCUGUCUCUCUGUUACUGUCUGUCCAUCUGUCUCUCUGUUACUGUCUGUCCAUCUGUCUCUCUGUUACUGUCUGUCCAUCUCUCUCUGUUACUGUCUGUCCAUCUGUCUCUCUGUUACUGUCUGUCCAUCUGUCUCUCUGUUACUGUCUGUCCAUCUGUCUCUCUGUUACUGUCUGUCCAUCUGUCUCUGUUACUGUCUGUCCAUCUGUCUCUCUGUUACUGUCUGUCCAUCUGUCUCUCUGUUACUGUCUGUCCAUCUGUCUCUCUGUUACUGUCUGUCCAUCUGUCUCUCUGUUACUGUCUGUCCAUCUGUCUCUCUGUUACUGUCUGUCCAUCUGUUUCUCUGUUACUGUCUGUUACUGACUGUUUCUCUGUUACUGUCUGUCCAUCUGUCUCUCUGUUACUGUCUGUCCAUCUGUCUCUCUGUUACUGUCUGUCCAUCUGUCUCUCUGUUACUGUCUGUCCAUCUGUCUCUCUGUUACUGUCUGUCCAUCUGUCUCUCUGUUACUGUCUGUCCAUCUGUCUCUCUCUGACUGUCUGUCCACCUGUGUCUCUCUGACUGUAUUGAACGGGUGCACCCUUCAGGAGAGUACUGGUACGUACCCCAACUCUCACCAUUACUGGCUGAAAUCAUCUCUGAAAAGGGAAAAAGUUCAUACCUGAGAAACUAUAAAAGGGAAAUGCUGGUUAUGAAUAUUCUAAAUAUUUAAAUAUGAUUGUUAAUAUGCAUUAUUUUUAUAAGCACGUAUGAAAACACAUUUCACCAUUAAAAUAAUUUCCCUCCCCCAAAUUAAAGACUACAUUUUUGAGAAGCUGUUAUUUUUCUCUUUCAUUUAAAAAUAUCUGUUACUGUUUUUUAGUUUUAUUUUUGUACCAAAACAUCUAAAUAAAGCCAGAAAAAUGAAUACAUUCUUAAUCUGUGUCUGUCUGCCUGAUCGCUUGGUUAUGCCUGGCGGCGGCCAUCGCUUGAUCAUGUCUGUCUUUAUGAUGCUGCUAGGAACGAGAAUAAAGACACAAACUAGAAGUUAAACACUCUGUCCACCUGUCUCUCUCUG